rnacentral:rRNA from 1 species
UACGGAGGGUGCAAGCGUUAUCCGGAUUCACUGGGUUUAAAGGGUGCGUAGGCGGCUUAAUAAGUCAUUGGUGAAAGCUCGCAGCUUAACUGUGAAACUGCCAAUGAAACUGUUUAGCUUGAAUCUGGUUGAAGUGGGCGGAAUAUAACAUGUAGCGGUGAAAUGCUUAGAUAUGUUAUAGAACACCGAUUGCGAAGGCAGCUCACUAAGCCAACAUUGACGCUGAGGCACGAAAGCGUGGGUAGCGAACAGG